CCAGGGAGGAGACAGCUUACAGUGAGCUGGGCCUUCCUACAUCAGUUAGAAAUUAAGAAAACGCUUCACCGACACGCCCACAGGCCCACAUGAUGAAGGGCUCGGAAGGGACAGCACGAUUCUGCUUCUGCAUGGCAGUCCCUGAUCUGGCUGGAAGGUGAGGGUGACUCAGCAGCUGGAAGCUAGCCAGCUCUUUUGCCCACAUAUCUGCAUUUGAUGCUGGCUGUUGCUGGGACCUUCGCUGGGACUGUCAGCUGUUGUUGCACUGUGUGCAACUUUUCUCACAAAUAAUAAAAACCCAGAAACAGAUAUUGGGGUUAAAGCUGAAGAACAGAAAAACAAAUCAGUCAGCUACUAGAGAGUUCUCACCUCUACCAAUUCUCAGACUGAAGGAGCGAACGUGUCCUCUGAUAGCAUCUCCAAACUGCAUUGCUCCUUAGACUUCGGAUAAUUGGAUAUUGAAUUAUUUAUACUGCUGGAGUUUGGUUUUGCUUUGUUUGGACUGCACUAACUGUUUCCUCUUGAAGUAAGUAUUUAUUUUUGAUUUGAUAGGUGCAAACAAUUGAGAGACUUUGAAUUUUUAUUUAUUUUUGAGUCCAAUGCGUGUUAGUUUUAUUUGAUGAUGAACAAACAAUAUUAACACACCCAGCAACUCCAGUGACUUUUGCUCACACUACUGAGAAGCAAGACUUAGCCCCUCUCUCCAUGGCCAUGCCUCAGCACAGAAGCCCUGUUCUUUAGAGUUACAGGACAUCCACACCUGUGCAGCCACCUGACCUCACUGGACUGUCAGCACUUGACUGAAAUGGAAGCCUUGGGUUGUCUCAGUCGGGGCGGGGCGGGGGGGGGACUCUAAAAAUCAUCUCAGAAGAUGCCACCGUGCCUGGUUCUGGAUGGAGUCCUUGUCAAACCACGUAGAGACAACACUAGUCCUUGCCCCAGUGGAUUUGCUCUUGGCAGAGUACCUUACUUUUCAGAGUUGCGCUUCUUAAAUUAACAAUGCAUCAGAACACCAAACACCCGCAGAUGGAGCCUACUUUUGUGCAAACACAAACUGGGAUGCAAUUAUUAGAAUCACAAGUAUGGGCAGCGGAAAAUCACCCUAAACCUCUAUCCUAGCUCAGAACUCCCUGAGAAUGGGUAGAAAGGAAAGAAGAAGAAACAGCAUGCUUUGCACAACUUGAUAAUACUGUGGGGGGAUCCCCAGGACCACCAGUUUCUACGGCUUCCCUACUUCCCGGAGAGCUGCUCAUAUAGCUUGGGCACGUAGUCGUCCCACUCUGCCUGGUAACAGGUGCUGGCCACAAGGACUCCCAGGAAGUCCUUGGACUUCUUGGAAGGCUGCCACCUUGAACUUGCCGCGGUGAUCUCCAGACCUGUUGCUGAGGAUGGGUUCGUCACAGUUCAGUCGUUUGUCCUGCUUGUACACCAGUCAGAGGUAGCGGUGGAGGCCUGUGCCACUGGGAGAAACUUGCCACUGCUGAUGUCAUUGCCCUUCAUGUUGACCACCAGAAAAUGGUGCCAAUUCCUGGAUUUCCCUGGGUCAAGACCAUCCCAUGAAAUGCUGCUGGGCCUAUUCUUAACCUGGGUGGGCGUCAGCACUUUGCCCAGCUCGUCCACCUCCACGCCGCAUAGGCGACCCGUAGUGCAUGCUGGGGAUGCUGGUCCACCUCUUGCAGGCUCAGCGGCCUGGCAGGCAUGGCGACAAUAAGGGCAGGCACACACGCACUGAGUCCGAAUGCCAAGACUUUGAAUUUUAAAAGACUUUGGAUUUUAAGAGACUGACUUUUUAAAAGAUACUGAAUUUUUAAGUGUUUGAAUUUUUAAAGACUGGGGGACUUUUAAAAUUUGGAAUGUUUAUAUUGUAAGGUUGAUAUUAAUGUGUAAUCUUGGGGAAGAACAACAAAAGAAAGGUUAUGGCUUAACAGUUAUGUAUUUGUGUGUCAGGUUGACAAGGGAUCAAUUGUGCUGGCUAGUUUUAUGUCACCUUGACACAGCUAGAGUUAUCAAAAGGAGGGGAUCUCAAAUGAGAAAAUGUCUCUUUAAGUUUUGACUGUAGGGAUUUUGAUUGAUUAGUGAUUGAUGAGGGAUGGCCCAACCCAUUGUGGGUGGAACUAUCCCUGGGUUGGUAGUUCUUGGUUCUAUAUGAAUUCAUAGGCUGAGCCAGUAAUGAUGAGCAAGCCAGUGAGCAGCAACCUUCCAUGGGUUAUGCAUCAGCUCCUGCCUUCAGGUUUUCAUCUUGUUUGAGUUCCUGUCCUGACUUCCUUCAUUGAUGAACAGUGAUGUGGGAGUGUAAGCUGAAUAAACCCUUUUCUCCCCAGUUUGCCUUUUAGUCAUGGUGUUUCAUUGCAGCAAUAGUAAACUCAACUAAGACAAGGGCCUUGAACAAUACUUUGAAAACUGCUAUUCUGGGA
ensembl:lncRNA